GUAGGUGAACCUGCGGAAGGAUCAUUAUAGUAUAUGGAAUUUCCAUUCUAUAAACCCACUCUGUGUAUCUUGUAACUGUUGCUUCCAUGGGACUUGGUCCUGCCACACCGGCUUCACGGCUGGUGAGCGCCCAUGGGAGGAGAAACAAAACUCUUCUUUGUAAUGUAAUCAGUCUGAACUAGUUUUUAUAAACGUUAAAACUUUCAACAACGGAUCUCUUGGUUCUC
rnacentral:misc_RNA from 1 species